ACAUCACUGUGUCAGGCUGAAGUUUGUACCUUUAGUCCACCUGUAGUUUCUAAUGGAGCAAAAACAAAACACAACCUCUGCGUAACCUCUGAACUUUCACGUCAUCAAAAACAACCCGGAAGCGACUAUACAAGAAACGCAAAUAUCCAGACUAACAUGAAGCCCAGGCUGAUCUGGCCCACCCCCUACCGGACGUCACGUCAGUGUUGUGUUUAAAGAACCAAUGGUGUUAUUGCAGGUUUGCAUACUUGAAUUGGUACCAGCCCAUAUUGAGUGGCCUCAGCAUUUCACAGUUACAUCUGUAGGCUAAGGUGUGGCUGCAAUGGAACCCACAGAGUUAAUAUGGCCUCUCAGCCUACCGUCAUUGCCUGGUCUGCUUAAUCCUUCUGGAUGAGUCACUAAUCCAGCUUCCUGUGCAACAGCAUUAGUUCAUUCCUAGGUGCUAAUGAAUUGGCUACAAUGACGGACAGAACUGUGCCCUUCGGGAAGAAAAGAGAAUCAAUAUAAGGUUUUAUGACGAGGCCAGAUUAUGUUUGACGUCAUCAUUUCACAUUACUUGGCACAUUAAUUCGGACUGUGACCAAGAGGUGGGUGUGUACAGCUUCCUGGGGCGAUUGAAAAAAUAAAAUAGGGAUGAUUAAACAAUGUGGCUAACACAUUUAAAAAAUAUUGCAGACCCAUGAAAAUGAAGUUCCAUUAGAGCCAGCAAUGUUUUUCCGAUAUGCCUUCAAAUGUUCCAGCCUCCGUGCAAGAAGACUUACCUA